UUAAGCCAUGCAUGUCUCAGUGCAAGCCGAAUUAAGGUGAAACCGCGAAUGGCUCAUUAAAUCAGUUAUGGUUCCUUAGAUGAUGCACAGUUACUUGGAUAACUGUGGUAAUUCUAGAGCUAAUACAUGCAACUCGGUCCCGACCGGCGACGGAAGGGACGCUUUUAUUAGAUCAAAACCAAUCGGUCUUCGGGCCGUUUGUCUUGGUGACUCUGAAUAAAUUAUGGCAGAUCGCACGGCCCCCGAGCCGGCGACGCAUCUUUCAAAUGUCUGCCUUAUCAACUGUCGAUGGUAGGUUCUGCGCCUACCAUGGUUGUAACGGGUAACGGGGAAUCAGGGUUCGAUUCCGGAGAGGGAGCCUGAGAAACGGCUACCACAUCCAAGGAAGGCAGCAGGCGCGCAAAUUACCCACUCCCGGCACGGGGAGGUAGUGACGAAAAAUAACGAUACGGGACUCAUCCGAGGCCCCGUAAUCGGAAUGAGUACACUUUAAAUCCUUUAACGAGUAUCCAUUGGAGGGCAAGUCUGGUGCCAGCAGCCGCGGUAAUUCCAGCUCCAAUAGCGUAUAUUAAAGUUGUUGCGGUUAAAAAGCUCGUAGUCGGACUUGUGUCCCACGCUGCCGGUUCACCGCCCGUCGGUGUUUAACUGGCAUGCACGUGCGGACGUCCUGCCGGUGGCCCGAGCCGGCGCGGGUCUCGCACCCGUCGUCCGGGGAAGGCCUAUCAUACCCGUCGCGGUGCUCUUAACCGAGUGUCUCGAUGGGCCGGCACGUUUACUUUGAACAAAUUAGAGUGCUUAAAGCAGGCAGCAUCCGCCUGAAUACCGAGUGCAUGGAAUAAUGGAAUAGGACCUCGGUUCUAUUUUGUUGGUUUUCGGAAUCCCCGAGGUAAUGAUCAAUAGGGACAGACGGGGGCAUUCGUAUU
rnacentral:rRNA from 1 species